GGUAUUAUACUUUAUUUUAUAGAAGAUAUGAUUUGCAAUCAUAAAGUAAGACUUUAUCUUUAAUACCA
rnacentral:tRNA from 1 species